UACGAAGGGGGCAAGCGUUGUCCGGAUUUAUUGGGCGUAAAGAGCGUGUAGGCGGCCAGAUAGGUCUGCUGUGAAAACUCGAGGCUCAACCUCGAGAUGUCGGCGGAAACCAUUUGGCUAGAGUCCGGAAGAGGAAAGUGGAAUUCCUGGUGUAGCGGUGAAAUGCGCAGAUAUCAGGAGGAACACCGGUGGCGAAGGCGGGUCUCUGGGCCGAAACUGACGCUGAGGAGCGAAAGCGUGGGGAGCAAACAGG
rnacentral:rRNA from 1 species